AUCACAUACUCUCCAUAAAAUCCCCUCUCCCAUCUUCCCAUGCUCAGGAAUGUGGCAGCAUGGAAGCUUCUAGUGCUAAUAUGGCUUCAAAAGCUGUCACAUUCACCCAAGCCAAC